CCAGGAGGUGCCCAAACCGGAGUGUGUGUCCUGACCGGAGCAGCUGAAGAUGACGGGCGGGCGGCUCACAGGGCAAAGAAAACGGGGGACCAGAGAGGCAGCAGCUGCAGAACACACAGUGCGGGGGCGAGGGCCAUACGGAGGGCCAGGGUGAGGGCCAGGGUGAAGGUCAGGGUGAGAGCCAGGGUGAGGGUCAGGGUGAGAGCCAGGGUGAGGGCCAGGGUGAGGGUCAGGGCGAAGGUCAGGGUGAGAGCCAGGGUGAGGGCCAGGGUGAGGGUCAGGGCGAAGGUCAGGGUGAGAGCCAGGGUGAGGGCCAGGGUGAGGGCCAGGGUGAGGGUCAGGGUGAGGGCCAGGGUGAGAGCCAGGGUGAUGGUCAAGGUGAGGGUCAGGGUGAGGGUCAGGGUGAGGGUGAGGGUCAGGGUCAGGGUGAGGGCCAUGGUGAGGCUCAGAGCAAAGGCAGGCAGAGGGUUAGAGUGAGGCCCAGGUGAGGUCCAGGGGUAGGUCUCAGGGGAGGUCCUGGGGCAGGGGAGGGUGACAGUCAGGUUGUGGGUCAGGAUGAGGGUCAUGGUAGGGCCAAGGUGAGGGAGGCUCUGAGCCCCUUGCAGAGACCCAUCAUCUCUCCAGCUUCCACGUGACGCUGAGCUGCGCUUUCUCUUUCAG
rnacentral:lncRNA from 1 species